UGUAGUCCUAGCCGUAAACUUUGCUCGCUAGGGGUUAUGAUUUAUCAUUAGCCCCGUAAGCUAACGCGUUAAGCGAGCCGCCUGGGGAGUACGGCCGCAAGGCUAAAACUCAAAGGAAUUGACGGGGACCCGCACAACCAGUGGAGCAUGUGGUUUAAUUCGAGACGAAACGAAAGACCUCACCCAGCCUUGACAUGCUACCGUUUUAGGCAUCUGGAAACAGAAGCCGAUCUUUAGAAAUAUUGAUGGUAGCACAGGUGUUGCAUGGCCGUCGUCAGCUCGUGCCGUAGGGUGUUCCCUUCAGUGGGGUAACGAGCGCAACCCUUGCCCUGAGUUGAAUAUUCUCAGGGGACUCCUUGAAUUUAUUUCAGGGGGAAGUGAGGACGACGUCAGGUCAGCAUGGCCCUUAUAGCUGGGGCGACACACAUACUACAAUGGAGCCGACAGAGGGUUGCCAAGCCGCAAGGUGGAGCUAACCCCAA
rnacentral:rRNA from 1 species